UGUCUAGUUAAGCUUGCUUAUUAAUAAUCACUCACUCCCUGCAAGUCUAGCAUGAUGUCAAGUCUGAAUUUUAACUACAGGAGAAGCUGGUAGAUUUCAAAUGCUUAAACCUCAUUUUACAUGGAUGGAAGUUGCUCUUGAUUCGAGGGUUGCAGCUCCCCUUAAACCUGGCAACGCAUAAAGCAUAUAUGAUUCAGACGUUUGGAUUUUCUUCUUUCUUCUUUCACGGUAGAAGAAUAUCAGUGCAACAUAUGAUUCAUAAACAUUACCUGUUGCAGCAGCAGCAGUAAGAGUAAUAAUGUCAGCAGGGGUUUGAAUGGUCAGGCCAGAGUUGACAGCAGAGGCAACAUCUGCUCUAUGUGCACCUACUGAUUCUGCAGCUUCGGCACAAGCACUGGCUAGCAAUGCAGAGGCACAGGCAACCCCAUUACUUAUUUUCACAGUUUCAUUGUCCAUAUUCUUUUCUAUUUCCAUGCUGUUGGUGGCUGCAAAGCCAGCAAUUGCUGCAGCCAGCCGUGCCACAGAAAGUGCAGCAUGUAUUUUGGCAGUGAGGAGUCGAACUUCUUCCUUCUUCUUCUCUCUUUUCCACCUCAAUAUACCAGUCAAUGAAUUUUCUCUUA